rnacentral:lncRNA from 1 species
UCCACCCUUUCAGGAAUUUCACUUUGCCUCCUGUUGGUGCUCUUCUUUUUUCCUGAGAGCUCCAUCCCGUUCGGCCUUAGGGGCUCUUCGAGUCGAUCCCCCUCUCCACAUCUCUGCACUUCUCGGACCAACCUAGGUUAGUUUCAGAACUCCCCUCUUCGCUUUUUCUCUUGCUGUUCUUCUUUCAUUUUUCUUCUGGUACAUUCCACC